GGAGUUUGGUCCGUGUCUCAGUACCAAUGUGGGGGACCUUCCUCUCAGAACCCCUACUGAUCGUCGGCUAGGUGGGCCGUUACCCCGCCUACUACCUAAUCAGACGCAUCCCCAUCGCUGAGCGAUAAAUCUUUUAUAUGACUCAGAUGUCUUCAUCAUACAACAUAGGGUAUUAAUCCGACUUUCGCCGGGCUAUCCCCUACUCAGCGGAAGGUUGGAUACGCGUUACUCACCCGUGCGCCGGUCGCCGACAGAGUUAGCAAGCUAACUCCUCGCUGCCCCUCGACUUGCAUGUGUUAAGCCUGUAGCUAGCGUUCAUC
rnacentral:rRNA from 1 species